rnacentral:rRNA from 1 species
GGGCUUUCGGGUCCGUUCAGUGGCAGACGGGUGAGUAACACGUGGGAACCUACCUCAAGGUACGGAAUAGCUCGGGGAAACCCGUGGUAAUACCGUAUACUUCCGAGAGGAGAAAGAUUUAUCGCCCUGAGAGGGGCCCCGCGUUGGAUUAGCUAGUUGGUGGGGUAAUGGCCUACCAAGGCGAAGAUCCAUAGCUGAUCUGAGAGGAUGAUCAGCCACACUGGGACUGAGACACGGCCCAG